UGAUGGUGAUGAGGAUAAUUUUUGAGCAUGCCUUUAAAUCUCUCCCAAGCUUAAUAGAGAUUUUCAUAAUCUUUUUAUCUGAAACUCAAAAUCUUACUCCUAAAUCA
rfam:Capsicum annuum cultivar Zunla-1 chromosome 12, whole genome shotgun sequence